UGUAUAUUGAAGUUUUUGGU
rnacentral:siRNA from 1 species